rfam:Ricinus communis cultivar Hale ctg_1100012355928, whole genome shotgun sequence.
ACGACCUUACUUGAACAGGAUCUGUUCUAUAGGAUCGUACCUCUGUAUCCUUUAACCACAAAGGAGACAGGAACUCAAGUCUGGAAGAUGAAUAAAGACCUGUUUGAUCAGAGCGUGAUUAACGGUCGAGUAUGCUCUCGGGCUUGCAACGCUGUAGAGGAUCGUCCCCAUUCAUAUUUGAAUAGGGUGGUCAUACGGUUGUCUGACAGACU